UUCCCUCUUUCCCCAACCGUGUCUCCUUUCUUCCCAAAAUUAUGAAUUCUGGCAUCAAAAUGUAUUUGAGUGACAUGGAUGAUGUCUAAGGGAGAAAGAUAGCGCUACAGUUUUCGAAAUACUUCCCUGCUCAAAGAAUUUGAGUGACAAGGAUGAUUAUUCCAUCAUGAUAUGAGAAGUAUCUUUCAGAAAAAUUAGAGGUCAGGAGGAAAGAUGAAAGGCCAUCUACACUGACAUAGUAGACGGAAAAACAUUUCUCGGAGGAAACUGGCAAGUUUGCUAAACUCACUAUGCAGGUCAUGGAGUUCAAAUUUGUGAAAAUAGAAGUUCAUUCCAUGUGUUGGGAAUACCAGGUGCUAAUAAUGAUAAUGAAGGGAGUUAUAGUCAGUUACAGAGUUUUCAGUAUCCUGGUGAUGUUAAGAUAGACGGGAGAUGGUUACUUAGGGCUAAUUCUGAAAUCCCUACAGAUUAUAAGGAUAAAAGGCUUAGCAAGGGUUUCUUCUGAGAUGGGGCUGGUGAAAGCUCGUGGAUAGGUACCUAGAGAAAAGAGGCAAGAUCAACCCAUACUAGGACUUGAUGUUUGGGGAAGGAGGUUUUCCAAUCCAAUUGGGUUGUCUGCUGGCUUUGAUAAAAAUACAAUUCAUUAUCUUUCGGUUAUCGGAUGAUUAGCAUUGGAAGUGGCAAUUCUGGUCCUUCUACUUAAGAAUGGGUUGAUUCAGGCUAUGUUUUAUCUCUGACAGGGAUCAGAUUAUAUCAAACACUACCAUUUCAAGGCCAGAGGUAGUGCAGGGAAAUCCUGUAUCACAGGAAAGUGGUGGACUGAGUGGGAAGCCUCUUUUCAGUUUGUCAAAUAACAUCCUAAGUGACAUUUAUAUUCUAACAAAGCUACAUCAAUCUUUAUAUUGAAUGUUCACCAUUUAUUUUUUUUUGACAAACUAUAUUGGGUGUAUGGGCUAUCUGCAUUUAAAAAUUUAUCCAUCUCUCAUACUAGCGUAUAUAUCUAUAUUCUUUAACAAUUCAAUUGUAUUUGAUUUUUUUCAGGGAAAGAUCCCUUUGGUUGGCUGUGGAGGUGUGAGCAGGAUUGUGUCUGAAUUGCAUAUCAAUUUUCAAUAAGUUCUAGCUCUUAUUAUGACAUUACAUGAUAAAUUUUUUACCAAAUGUGUACUUGAUUAAGUGGUGAGGAUGCUUACAAAAAGAUAAGAGCAGGGGCAACUCUUGUUCAGAUAUAUUCAGCAUUUGCUUAUGGUGGUCCAGCCCUUAUACCUCGGAUAAAGUUAUGUACCUGUUGCUCAAGUUUGGAUUUCUUAUGAGAAUGAAUUAAAACCAUACGAUUUCUUAAGGAUGCUGCUCUCGAGUUUUUGAGAAAUUAAAUCUUUCAUAUAAUCUUUCGUAAUUACAAAACUGCUUGUAUAAUCUUUCAGGUUUGAAGCGACUACGUACUAUGGUUAGAUAUGUUUUUACUCUUUCAUAUAUGUACUUUACCAAGUGUUUUGUUCCUAGUUAAGUUUUUCUAUCUUGUUUGUAACUCGAUAUGGUGUCAGGAUUUUAUAGAUGCUAGACAUGAAGUUGAGAAGUUGCACUUGCUUGUGAUGCUCGAAAGGUCAUGCUCAAGAAACGGAUAUGCUUAAGUAAUGUUUUUUUUUUUAGCAACAAUUCUUGUAAUUAAUUGUUUGUUGUAAUGAGUUGGUUAUGAGUAUAAAAACUCCUAUCUAUGUAGAAAAUCUUUAAGGUUUUGUUCUAUUUAAUAUCAAUGGUUGGUUAGAAUAACAU